GAUGAACGCUAGCGGGAGGCCUAACACAUGCAAGCCGAGCGGUAUUUGUCUUUCGGGACAGAGAGAGCGGCGUACGGGUGCGGAACACGUGUGCAACCUGCCUUUAUCAGGGGGAUAGCCUUUCGAAAGGAAGAUUAAUACCCCAUAAUAUAAUGAGUGGCAUCACUUAUUAUUGAAAACUCCGGUGGAUAGAGAUGGGCACGCGCAAGAUUAGAUAGUUGGUAGGGUAACGGCCUACCAAGUCAGUGAUCUUUAGGGGGCCUGAGAGGGUGAUCCCCCACACUGGUACUGAGACACGGACCAGACUCCUACGGGAGGCAGCAGUGUGGAAUAUUGGACAAUGGGUUAGCGCCUGAUCCAGCCAUCCCGCGUGAAGGAUGACGGCCCUAUGGGUUGUAAACUUCUUUUGUAUAGGGAUAAACCUACUCUCGUGAGAGUAGCUGAAGGUACUAUACGAAUAAGCACCGGCUAACUCCGUGCCAGCAGCCGCGGUAAUACGGAGGGUGCAAGCGUUAUCCGGAUUUAUUGGGUUUAAAGGGUCCGUAGGCGGAUCUGUAAGUCAGUGGUGAAAUCUCAUAGCUUAACUAUGAAACUGCCAUUGAUACUGCAGGUCUUGAGUAAAGUAGAAGUGGCUGGAAUAAGUAGUGUAGCGGUGAAAUGCAUAGAUAUUACUUAGAACACCAAUUGCGAAGGCAGGUCACUAUGUUUUAACUGACGCUGAUGGACGAAAGCGUGGGGAGCGAACAGGAUUAGAUACCCUGGUAGUCCACGCCGUAAACGAUGCUAACUCGUUUUUGGGCUUUCGGGUUCAGAGACUAAGCGAAAGUGAUAAGUUAGCCACCUGGGGAGUACGUUCGCAAGAAUGAAACUCAAAGGAAUUGACGGGGGCCCGCACAAGCGGUGGAUUAUGUGGUUUAAUUCGAUGAUACGCGAGGAACCUUACCAAGGCUUAAAUGGGAAUUGACAGGUUUGGAAACAGACUUUUCUUCGGACAAUUUUCAAGGUGCUGCAUGGUUGUCGUCAGCUCGUGCCGUGAGGUGUUAGGUUAAGUCCUGCAACGAGCGCAACCCCUGUCACUAGUUGCCAUCAUUCAGUUGGGGACUCUAGUGAGACUGCCUACGCAAGUAGAGAGGAAGGUGGGGAUGACGUCAAAUCAUCACGGCCCUUACGCCUUGGGCCACACACGUAAUACAAUGGCCGGUACAGAGGGCAGCUACCAGGUGACUGGAUGCGAAUCUCGAAAGCCGGUCUCAGUUCGGAUUGGAGUCUGCAACUCGACUCUAUGAAGCUGGAAUCGCUAGUAAUCGCGCAUCAGCCAUGGCGCGGUGAAUACGUUCCCGGGCCU
rnacentral:rRNA from 1 species